rfam:Cyphellophora europaea CBS 101466 unplaced genomic scaffold supercont1.3, whole genome shotgun sequence.
GGUUGUGUAGUGUAGUGGUGAUCACUCCGGAUUUUGAAACUGAACGUCGUUUUCCGGCAACCCCGGUUCGAACCCGGGCACGACCU